rnacentral:rRNA from 1 species
GAUGAACGCUGGCGGCGUGCCUAAUACAUGCAAGUAGAACGCUGAAGCUUGGUGCUUGCACCGAGCGGAUGAGUUGCGAACGGGUGAGUAACGCGUAGGUAACCUGCCUGGUAGCGGGGGAUAACUAUUGGAAACGAUAGCUAAUACCGCAUAACAGUCGACAUUGCAUGAUGUUGAUUUGAAAGGGGCAAUUGCUCCACUACCAGAUGGACCUGCGUUGUAUUAGCUAGUUGGUGAGGUAACGGCUCACCAAGGCGACGAUACAUAGCCGACCUGAGAGGGUGAUCGGCCACACUGGGACUGAGACACGGCCCAGACUCCUACGGGAGGCAGCAGUAGGGAAUCUUCGGCAAUGGGGGCAACCCUGACCGAGCAACGCCGCGUGAGUGAAGAAGGUUUUCGGAUCGUAAAGCUCUGUUGUAAGAGAAGAACGAGUGUGAGAGUGGAAAGUUCACACUGUGACGGAACUACCAGAAAG